GUUGAAAACAAUGUAGUUACAUUCAGUUUGAUGGGACUAUUAUUCAAGUCAUGUUGAAACCAAUGUAGCUGCUUCUUUCGUCCCAAUUGCCUCCAUAACACAAGAAGACAAUCAAUGAUAUUGAAUUAAUUUAGAGGUCACAAUCGAACAUGUAUAAUAUGUGUUUGUAGUGGAGAAAAAAUUGUAAGUCGCAAUAUAGACAUUAAUCAGAAUAUCUAGUUCAUCUACAAGCCAAAUAUUAGGUCACAUUCGAAGAUUAACAUUAGAAAUGUCACAAAUGUAAACAAAACCUAGUCACAAUACAGACCACACGUGAAAGCAACCCAAAAUUGCAGUCACCACAAAACAUCUCAAUUAUUACCUUAACAAGAACAACAAUAGUGUUUUCUUCUGAAGUCAUGUUUUGAUGGCAAAUUUCUGCAAAUUUCGAUUUCUAUGUAGUUCUUGUCUUUUUCAUUUAACAUCUGUAACCUCUUUGAUUUUCGAUAAACUAAAGCUUUGUUGGAGCAAAAUUGUUGUUUUUUAAUGUGAAAAGAAACUUGAAUUGUAACCACUUCUCCCUUUUUUUUUGGGGUUACUAACUUAAUUAGUUAUUCAAUUCUAUUUUACAAGAAAUGACGGUCCUCUUUAAAAUUUCUGAUUUUUCCAAAGUUUUAAAUGGUUGAUUAUCAAAAGGUCAACUUAGAAGUUUGUAUACAACAUUUUGUCCCCAAUAAAUGUCAUAGGUCAUAGAGGACAUGGAAAGUCCAUAAGGCAAAUUAAAGUAUACAAACAUAUGUAAUGAUUUUAAAGGCCCGUAAUGCUUGAAAUUUAGUAUAUGUUUUGGAAAUAUUUUCAAUAAAUUAUAUGUUAUAUUUAUUAUUCAGUUAAAAUUAAACUUUAAUUAAAUUAAACAUUCAAAAUCACUACUCAUUAUUAUCAAUGAAUUUCAUAAU
rnacentral:lncRNA from 1 species